rnacentral:misc_RNA from 1 species
CGGGUCGCGGCGCCUCGCGGCGUUGCGGCCGGCCGUCUCCCUUCGUCACGAAGAAGUUCUUCGUGGCGUCGGGUUUCCACGAUGCCUCACCUUGACCGAAUGACUGAGUCCCGAAUACUUGGAUACUUGGAAUGGUGAGUUCCGUCCCCUUGAGCGAGCUUGCUUGCGACGGGGGUCGGCGCUCGCCGGUUACCUUGUGACGAGUUGGAACAUAACUUUGAAAAACAACUCUCAGCAACGGAUAUCUUGGCUCUUGCAACGAUGAAGAACGCAGCGAAAUGCGAUACGUAGUGUGAAUUGCAGAAUUCCGCGAAUCAUCGAGUCUUUGAACGCAAGUUGCGCCCGAGGCUUGUCCGAGGGCAUUUCCGCUAGAGCGUCACCGCGCCCCCCACCGAUCCGCUCCCGCCGCGAGGCGCCAGUCGGUUCGAGUGGAAGUGGCCGUCCCGGUCGCGAUCUUCGCGAGUGAGGGUCGGCUGAAAUGGAUGGAAUCGGGCCGCCGUGGCGACACAGUCCGCGAUCGGGUGAUUUUUCGCGAGCCUCCCCAGGGAGGGUCGCCGUGAAUUUUUCUAAGUGNGUGGCUGCGUCCCCCAGUUGGUUUCGGUUCCCUCAUGCAGGUCGUGCGCGCCCCCGCGGCGCG